rnacentral:rRNA from 1 species
AGAGAGAGACAUGCGCGCAUAUCAAUAAGCGGAGGAAAAGAAACUAACAAGGAUUCCCCUAGUAACGGCGAGUGAAGCGGGAAGAGCUCAAAUUUGAAAUCUUAAAGGGUUUCCCUUUACGAAUUGUAGUUUAAAGAAGUGUUUUCUGUUGAGGUUUUGGUAAAAGUUCUUUGGAAUAGGACAUCAUAGAGGGUGAGAAUCCCGUAUUUGACCUUUACUUUCAACUUUGUGAUACACUUUCAAAGAGUCGGAUUGUUUGGGAAUGCAGUCCAAAAUGGGUGGUAAAUUUCAUCUAAAGCUAAAUAUUGGCGAGAGACCGAUAGCGAACAAGUACCGUGAGGGAAAGAUGAAAAGAACUUUGAAAAGAGAGUUAAACAGUACGUGAAAUUGUCAAAAGGGAAGCGUUUGACACCAGUGUUGUUUUUCUGAAAAUCAAUUAAAGAACUGUUUAUGCUAAGCUGUUUAGACUUUAUCAGCUAACUGUUUAGUUUUGAGCUUUUCUUUAAUGCACUUUUCAGUUAACAAGUCAACAUCAAUUUCUUUUGCUGUAAAAAAGCUUGAGGAAGGUGGCUUGAGACUCGUCUUAAGUGUUUAUAGCCUCUUGCCUAUGCAGUCGGAGAGAUUGAGGUCUGCAGCGUAGAUCCUUCGGGGCUAAAUGCAUUCGUGCUAAGUUAUAGCAUUUUAUAGACAACUUGUUGACUAUGAUUUGUCUUGUAGCUUACUCGCUUAUGUUAUUUUACCUACGCUUAGGAUGUUGACGCAUGAGAUAUACGC